rnacentral:rRNA from 1 species
GUGGAGCAUGUGGCUUAAUUUGACCCAACGCGGGAAAUCUUACCGGGUCCGGACACACUGAGGAUUGACAGGUAAUAUCUCUCUCGUAUAUUUACGUAUACGAGUGAGUAUAAAUAUGCUAGUCCUUUCAUGAUUAUGUGAUAGGUGGUGCAUGGCCGUUCUUAGUUCGUGGAGUGAUCUGUCUGCUUAAUUGCGUUUCACUAUUGGAUCUAUAUUUACGCAUAUACUCACAUAUGAGACCCCAUAUUUAUAUGCGCGUGUCUCAAGUGAUAUAUGCAUUAGAUCCUGAAAGCAACGAACGUGACCG